rnacentral:rRNA from 1 species
UCUGGUGGCGAUGCGUUUAGGGGACACACCCGUUCCCAUCCCGAACACGACGGUUAAGACCUAAGCGGCCGAAAGUACUAUACUGGAGACGGUAUGGGAGGAUAGGAGGCUGCCAGAU